rnacentral:rRNA from 1 species
UACGGAGGGUGCAAGCGUUAAUCGGAAUUACUGGGCGUAAAGCGCACGUAGGCGGUUUGGUAAGCUAGCCGUGAAAGCCCCGGGCUUAACCUGGGAAUUGCGGUUAGAACUGCCAAGCUAGAGUAUGGUAGAGGGGUGUGGAAUUUCAGGUGUAGCGGUGAAAUGCGUAGAUAUCUGAAGGAACACCAGUGGCGAAGGCGACACCCUGGACCAAUACUGACGCUGAGGUGCGAAAGCGUGGGGAGCAAACAGG